AUUGAACGCUGGCGGCAGGCCUAACACAUGCAAGUCGAGCGAGCGGCGGACGGGUGAGUAAUGUAUGGGGAUCUGCCCGAUAGAGGGGGAUAACUACUGGAAACGGUGGCUACUACCGCAUACUAUCGGAUGAACCCAACUGGGCUUAGGUAGUUGGUGGGGUAAAGGCUCACCAAUCGACGAUCCAUAGCUGGUCUGAGAGGAUGACCAGCCACACUGGGACUGAGACACGGCCCAGACACCGCCGGGAGGCAGCAGUGGGGAAUAUGGCGCAAUGGGGGCAACCCUGACGCAGCCAUGCAGCGUGAAGGAAGAAGGCCUUCGGGUUGUAAAGUUCUUUCGGUAGCGAGGCGUUAACUACAGAAGAAGCACCGGCAACUCCGUGCCAGCAGCCGCGGUAAUUC
rnacentral:rRNA from 1 species